CUGCCAGUUCCAUUUCACUAGCUCACUGACUGUAAAUUACUGAUGUCUAGUUUCUUUCCAUUCCACAUGUCUGAUUAAUAAAACUGCAAAUGAUGAAGCCUCGUAUGCAGAGAUAUUUGGCAACAACUGUGUCUGCAUUCUGAAUUCCAUGAUAUGUUGACCCUCUACAGAUGGAAAUUUGAAGUUUCAGGGUAUGGAGUCUGUGCCAAUUGCCAGGCAAUGCCGAACACAGCGCAUGCAGUGUUCAUCCUCAUUGUCAGUGGGAGUGGCUCUCUAUAACUUUAUUAUGCUGGUAUUCUUGUAAAGGCAAUAUCCUACUAUGGCAAGAUGACAAAGCUACUCCCACCAAUCAAAAAGACAGAGGAAAGUUCCAUAUACUAUGCACAGAAGGCACCCCAGCUGAGAAACUGACUGGAAAAUGAUAGACUCCGAGGCAAUGAUGCUAAAAGCCAUAUCACUGACAUUGCUGUUUGGACCAAGGGGUUGAACUAUGUGCCCACAUCAAGAAAUCACAUAGUAUAUGAUGACACAUUCCAGAAUGCAUUUGCUUUUUGUAAGUUGAAAAUAUCUCUGUAAUGUAACACCACUUGAAGUGUUGAGUAUAUGGUUUCAUUUAGAUUAGACAUUCCUGCAGACUUACAUCUAACUUUGAAAUUAGGUGUAUGUAAACAUAAGAAACUUUAACUUUAGAAAGUCACUGUAUUUUGAAAAUAUGACUUCAAAUGAAAGGAACAGCAUUGCAGAA